rnacentral:rRNA from 1 species
GUAACGGCGAGCGAAGCGGGAAAUUGCUCAAAUUUGAAAUCUCCGGUGCCUGCACCGGCGAAUUGUAGUCUGGAGGCGCGGUUUCGCCCUAGGCGGUGUCCUCAAAGUCGUCCUGGAAAGGCGGGCCGAAGAGGGUGAGAGCCCCGUGCGCGGGGGCACCGCCGAAGGCAAGAUCCGACGCCGAAGAGUCGGGCUGUUUGGGAUUGCAGUCCAAAAAGGGUGGUAAACUCCAUCUAAAGCUAAAUACCGGCACGAGACCGAUAGCGAACAAGUACCGUGAGGGAAAGAUGAAAAGCACUUUGAAAAGAGAGUCAAAUAGUACGUGAAACCGUCGGGAGGGAAACGAACGAGGUCGGUGCGGCGACCGCGCAGGCUCAGUCAUCCGCGGAGGGGAGCGACGAACGGACCGAGACGGUCCCCCGCCGUGCAACCGAAGCGGGGACGUAUUUCUCGCGGUCGCGGACCAACGGCGGUUGGAUCCGGGGCAAAAGGAGCGGCGGAAGGUAAGCAGGCGGGGCCUCGGCCCCGC